GGUGAAUAUUAGAGGGGAUUAUUAAACGGAAAUUGAAUAGAGUGGAAUAUUGAAUAUAUUCCCCGAUAAGAACAAAGGAAACCGAGCAGGGUGAAAAAUAAGGUAUUAUAUUAGGGGGAGAGUGCUGCCACUCAAUAGGUUAAACCAAACUUGUAAACUAUGUCAAAUUUUAAUCUCAUUUUUGUAAAUAUAUGUUUGAAAACUACAAGCGUAAGCAAUCUCAUUGGGUCAUUAAUCCAGAAAGAUCCCCCAAGGAAAUUUAUGAAAUGUGGUUGCGAAAAAGUGUCAUAAAUUUUCCACUGCUAAGCAUGAAAGGAAACAGAAAAAUGUGUUCACACACAUUUAUAGAAGUAAUGUAUUAUGCAGGUCAGGACAUUUUUGUUGUUGUUCACAGUAGAUUGGCAUAUUAUAUUUUAUUUGUUGUUAGCAAGCCAUCGUGUGAUAACUUAUAUGUUUAGCCUAUGACUGAUAUCAGGAUAUCCAGUGGGAGGGUGGUUUAUUUGGGUGGCACUUGCAUCUAAACACUUUUAGAGUUUUAGUAAGGUAGUUCUCAAACAGUAACAAGGGGUGCUUUCAAUGUAGGG